GGGCUCAAUCAUUAUUGCUUUUUCUAGGUAUGAUGUCCUGUCCCCAGGGGAGAUGCAAAGACUCUCCUUCGCCCGUCUCUUCUACCUGCAGCCCAAGUAUGCAGGUGAGGUGCACACCAUGGGCGCACAUGCCAGGCGCUGUGUGUACUCAUGAGUACUUGUAGCAUGUGUUCACAGCCUGGACACAUAUGUGCACUUAUACAUGACUGGGUAUCCCUCCCUGUGUCCUCUACCCGUGAUGAGCAGAGCUUGGCCCCUUGGCAUAGUCCUGAGAGUGUAAAUGCACUUGUUAGGCAGCCUCAGUUAGAGGGCUUGUGAUCGUAGCUCCCUGGGUUCUGCCACAGAUGAGCGGGCAUCCCCGAGCUGUGCCUGGCAGGAAUAUGUACAUGCAUAUUGUAGCAGGUAUGGACACUUCUGAGCACAGAGCCUCGGAUGAAUUGAGAGUCCUGGGUUGUACAGUCUUGGGGCACAGUGUUAUUUGUCUGCAGGCAGCUGUGAGAUCUGAGCCAGGCUCACAGGUGUGAUCUCUAUCUUGGCGUGACUCUCCUGUCAGUCCACCACAUCCCAGGGUGAAUGGGUUGGAGGAGUGACAGAGAGGGCAAGGGCAGUCUGUGAUCUCUCGCCACCACAUGCUGCUCGUCAGUGCUCGAUGAAGCCACCAGUGCCCUGACAGAGGAAGCAGAGAGUGAGCUCUACCGAAUUGGUCAGCAACUGGGGAUGACAUUUAUCAGCGUGGGACAUCGUCCCAGCCUUGAGAAGGUACCCAGGCCACAGGGGUGGCCUGCUGAGGAGAAAGAACCCAAAGGCUGGGCCUGGGGGUGUCAGGUAGCAGAGGGAUUGGGGUGACUGCUCUGGCAGCUGUCUGACCUCAGUGGGGUCCUGGGCUCUUGCAGUUUCACUCCUGGGUUCUGAGACUCCACGGAGGAGGAAGCUGGGAGCUGACUAGAAUCAAACUGGAAUGAAGGCAAGCAUGCAGGUUCAUCUGAGCAGCGGAGCUCCGGGGCCUGCGGUGCCCACAGACAAGGAAGCCCGAUGAGCCGGGAAGGAGCCACAGAUUCACCUGAGGUCCUACACAGGAGCCCUAGCAGCCUCUAGCCCUGCCCACGGGUGGCGCUACAGGGAACACUGAGUCUCCCCAGCGCUGCUCCCAUGACUUCUUACUUCAGAUGACGUUUGCUGCUGAAAAACGGAAUGAACUGUAAGACGUGAAGGGCCAGGGUGAGAAAACUAUCGGACUCAAGAACUGGUGAUGCCGGGCGGCGGCGCACGCCUUUAAUCCCAGCACUUGGGAGGCAGAGGCAGGCGGAUUUCUGAGUUCGAAGCCAGCCUGGUCUACAGAGUGAGUUCCAGGACAGCCAGGGCUAUACAGAGAAACCCUGUCUCGAAAAAAAAAAAAAAAAGAAAGAAAAAGAAAACUGGUGACAUUUCACAAUGAUAGCCUUUUAAAAAAAACUUUAAUAACCAUUUAAAAUUUAUAACUUUUUAAAAAAGAAUAAAUAUUAAAAAUAUGGUUUUUCUUCUACAAUAGACUGAUUUUUUUAUUUAAAGAUUUUUAUUUAUUUAUUAUAUGUAAGUACACUGUAGCUGUCUUCAGAAACUUUUUUUUUUCUUUUCUCUCUGGUCCUGCUUGCUCUGGCCCAAAGAUUUAUUUAUUUAUUAUAUUACACUGUACACUGUAGCUGUCUUCAGACACACCAGAAGAGGGCAUCAGAUCCCAGGACAGAUGGUUGUGAGCCAUCAUGCGGGUGCUGGGAAUUGAACUCAGGAGCAGGGACUGCUCUCUCUCCAGCCCCUAGAGUGAUCUUUUUUAUAGCAUCUCUACACUUGUCCUCUAGGGUUUGAGGCACACUCGUGCCCUAUACCUGCUGUGCUUUUCCACUCAAUCUGUGUCCCUCCUGUCCACCCAAUGGCCUGGAGACAGCGGGUGUGGCCAGUGCCAAGACCACCGUCUCUUGGGAUCCUCUGUCUUUAUCUUUUGUUCGUCUGUUUCAUUACUGCGGAUUGAACCUAGGGCCUUAUGAACCCUACGCGGCUGUGAUACCACUGAUACACAUCUUUAUUAUCUAAUUCAAGAAAAUUAUCCCUUCCCCCCUUACUAGCUAAAAUAAGGUUGGUAGAUGUCUUCUUUUGUUUUCCCCACCCCCACCCCAAAAUCUGUAUUAGGAACAAGAAAAAAAAAAAAAACUAAGCCAAGUACAUACCUGUUGCCCCAAAGGAAUGGUGGCAAAGACAGAUGAAUCAUGAGUGUGACACUCUUCUGGGUUGCAUGGUAAGACCCCUAUAAAUUAAGUAGCAGAUUCCCAAAAGCAUAAGAUAAAGUUACUAAUGCCAAAGAUGUUUUCUUUUGUGAUAUUUCUAUAGUGUGUGUGUUGUCACACUGCUGCGGGGUGGGACGUUUUUGUUUUUAUUUAUUUAUCUUAUUUUUAUUUUUUUGUUUUGUUUUUCAAGACAGGGUUUUUCUGUUUAGCCCUGGUUAUCCUGGAACUUGAUCUGUAGACCUGGCUAGCCCUGAACUCAGAGAUCUGCCUGCCUCUGUCUCCCAAGCUGAAAUUAAAGGCGUGUGCCACCACCACCACCACCUAGCCACUU
rnacentral:lncRNA from 1 species